UACGUAGGGUCCGAGCGUUGUCCGGAGUUACUGGGCGUAAAGCGCGCGCAGGCGGCUGAUCAGGCCUAACGUGAAAGUCCUCGGCUUAACCGGGGAGAGUCGUUGGGGACCGGUCAGCUUGAGGGCGGCAGGGGCUGGUGGAAUUCCCGGUGUAGUGGUGAAAUGCGUAGAGAUCGGGAGGAACACCUGUGGCGAAGGCGGCCAGCUGGGCCGGCUCUGACGCUGAGGCGCGAAGGCGUGGGGAGCGAACGGG
rnacentral:rRNA from 1 species